UAAUUACUCGUAAAUAUUCAUUUUCGAUUGUUCUUAUAUAAAAUACGUUUGUUCUCUUUCGAAAUUACUCAUUUUUUGUUUAAUUAAUUGUAUUAGUUGAAUAAAUGUAUACAAAAUAUGUGUACUGCGCAUGCCAUAAGUGUAUAAUCUAUGGCGCAUGCGUCAACUAUAAUGCCUAAACUUUCUACGCGGUUUUAAUCGUGAAAAAAAAACAAUUAUAAAUCCUGAAGGAUCGAUUAAUUGGUAUACAGUUUAAUUAAAAAAAUUAAAAAAUAAAUAAAUAAAAUAAUGUGCAUUCGCGUAAAGUUAGACCAAAUACAUUUUUUCCAUCCUCCUAUAUACCUAUCGCUAUGAAGGUAUAAAAAAGAUAGGUUAAGAGUUCACAUAGGUUAUGUAUUGAAAUUGUUGGAAAAUUAUUUCAUGUUUUAGCUGGAAAACUACAUGGAGAAUUAUAUGCAAUACAAGAUAAUGAGCUCCAUUAAAUGAAUUCGAAUGAAACCAAACUGUUUACCAUUCAAAUUCGAUUGUCGGGCAGAUAGAAAACGAAAAUUCACUCAUAGUGAACCUCGGCCUGCAUUUGUGAAACGGCAAAGACUCACUAUUAUCAAGGAAAUUGAAGAGACGACUAAAAAUGAGAUGUGUCGUAUUAUUAUACCUUUGCCAUCUUGUAGUCAAGAUGUCCAGCCACUUGAAAAUAGGUGUAGUAAUGACAAAGCUAUCCAAGUAGCUCCAGCACAGGAACACAAAGGCAAGGCAAGUGUGUAUUGCCACAUCACCCCUUAAUAUAUCUGAAGCAAGUAUAAGUAAACAAUCAGAACCAGCAAAAAAAAAACUGUUGUUCCUGAGGACAAAUUUGACAGUGAUGAGUCAAAUGCACCAGCAACAGAAGGAUCAACUGUUGACUAUGAGCUAUCUCUCUAUAUCUCCACUCCAUCAAAGACUUGUGCACUUCAGACUAUAGCUCUCAAGAAGACUAAAAAGUUGAAAAAAUGAAUGUGUUAACAACUUUAUCUAAAGUGAAAAAUAAACAACGUUUAUAUAUUGGUCUUCCACAAGAAUUAUGUUUCAUAAUAGGCUUGAUUGAGAAACAUACAAAUGUUUCUGAACAAAAUAUUAUAUUAUGUCUGAUGAGAAUAACAUUAAAUAGAACAUUCUCUCAAUUGGCUGAUGAUUUCGAUUUAUCUGUAAGUCAAGCAAGCAAUAUAUAUAUAAUAUAUUUUUCAACAAACUCCCAGAAAUUGCAAAUGUAAUAUCACCCCUUGUUAGACUAUAAAAAAAACAAUACAAUAAAUAUAUAUGCAGGAAGGAUAAUUGAUGUCAACUUGGUGGAAAAUAGAAAGUUUUCAGAUAGUUUGCCACCUACAAAACUCUUUAAUUAAAUAAGUAAUCCUUACUUAUAAAUAGGAAUUUUUGUAAGUAUUUUCACUCUUCAUUCAAAAACUACUGAACAGAUUUUAAUAAGACUUCUAUGCUGGUCUUCUAUGGCUAGCAACUCAUUACUAUUUUGAUUCUGUUUUCCACAAAUGUGCUAAAUAUGGGCUUAUAUAUAUGAAAAGGAAUAAAUAUUAAUGUUAUGUAACCUUUGUACCUGUAUGUUAAGAAUAAUUUUUAAUAAAACAUAAUUUAAAUUGAAA